rnacentral:rRNA from 1 species
GUAGGGAAUAUUAGAAAUGGACGAAAGUCUGAUCUAGCAACACCGCGUGUGCGAAGAAGGCCUUCGGGUCGUAAAGCACUUUUUGGAAGGAAUAGGAAGGAAUGUACUUCCAGAAUAAGUCUCGGCUAACUACGUGCCAGCAGCCGCGGUAACACGUAGGAGGCAAACGUUAUCCGGAUUUACUGGGCGUAAAGCGCGUGUAGGUGGUACUGUAAGUAGGGCGUGAAAGCUCCUGGCUCAACUGGGAGAGGCCGUUCUAAACUACAGAACUAGAGGAUGGUAGAGGGAGGUGGAAUUCCAGGUGUAGCGGUGGAAUGCGCAGAUAUCUGGAGGAACACCGGUGGCGAAGGCGGCCUCCUGGACCAUUCCUGACACUCAGACGCGAAAGCUAGGGUAGCAAACGGGAUUAGAUACCCCAGUAGUCC